UACGGGGGGGGCAAGCGUUGUUCGGAAUUACUGGGCGUAAAGGGCGCGUAGGUGGCCAACUAAGUCAGACGUGAAAUCCCUCGGCUUAACCGGGGAACUGCGUCUGAUACUGGAUGGCUUGAGUUUGGGAGAGGGACGGCGGAAUUCCAGGUGUAGCGGUGAAAUGCGUAGAUAUCUGGAGGAACACCGGUGGCGAAGGCAGCCCCCUGG
rnacentral:rRNA from 1 species